AGGAGUUGGUUAUUUCCGCAUGGACGAAGUCUGACGGAGCAACGCCGCGUGAGUGAUGAAGGUUUUCGGAUCGUAAAGCUCUGUUGUUAGGGAAGAACAAGUGCAAGAGUAACUGCUUGCACCUUGACGGUACCUAACCAGAAAGCCACGGCUAACUACGUGCCAGCAGCCGCGGUAAUACGUAGGUGGCAAGCGUUGUCCGGAAUUAUUGGGCGUAAAGGGCUCGCAGGCGGUUUCUUAAGUCUGAUGUGAAAGCCCCCGGCUCAACCGGGGAGGGUCAUUGGAAACUGGGAAACUUGAGUGCAGAAGAGGAGAGUGGAAUUCCACGUGUAGCGGUGAAAUGCGUAGAGAUGUGGAGGAACACCAGUGGCGAAGGCGACUCUCUGGUCUGUAACUGACGCUGAGGAGCGAAAGCGUGGGGAGCGAACAGGAUUAGAUACCCUGGUAGUCCACGCCGUAAACGAUGAGUGCUAAGUGUUAGGGGGUUUCCGCCCCUUAGUGCUGCAGCUAACGCAUUAAGCACUCCGCCUGGGGAGUACGGUCGCAAGACUGAAACUCAAAGGAAUUGACGGGGGCCCGCACAAGCGGUGGAGCAUGUGGUUUAAUUCGAAGCAACGCGAAGAACCUUACCAGGUCUUGACAUCCUCUGACAACCCUAGAGAUAGGGCUUUCCCUUCGGGGACAGAGUGACAGGUGGUGCAUGGUUGUCGUCAGCUCGUGUCGUGAGAUGUUGGGUUAAGUCCCGCAACGAGCGCAACCCUUGAUCUUAGUUGCCAGCAUUUCAGUUGGGCACUCUAAGGUGACUGCCGGUGACAAACCGGAGGAAGGUGGGGAUGACGUCAAAUCAUCAUGCCCCUUAUGACCUGGGCUACACACGUGCUACAAUGGACAGAACAAAGGGCUGCGAGACCGCAAGGUUUAGCCAAUCCCACAAAUCUGUUCUCAGU
rnacentral:rRNA from 1 species